AGAGUUUGAUCAUGGCUCAGGAUAAACGCUGGCGGCGUGCCUAAAACAUGCAAGUCGAACGGACACUUCGGUGUCAGUGGCGGACGGCUGAGUAACACGUGGGUGACCUGCCCCGGAGCGGGGGAUAACUGCCCGAAAGGGUGGCUAAUACCGCAGACAUCGUGCAUUCGGUUGUACGAUUGAACCUCUUGGGUUCUGGGAGGGGCCCGCGGCCGAUUAGCUAGCUGGUGGGGUAACGGCCUACCAGGGCGACGAUCGGUAGCUGGUCUGAGAGGAUGAUCAGCCAGACUGGGACUGCGAACGGCCCAGACUCCUACGGGAGGCAGCAGUUAGGAAUUUUGGGCAAUGGGCGAAAGCCUGACCCAGCAACGCCGCGUGGGUGAUGAAGGCCCUCGGGUCGUAAAGCCCUUUUCCCAGGGACGAUAGUGACGGUACCUGGGGAAUCAGCCCCGGCUAACUACGUGCCAGCAGCCGCGGUAAUACGUAGGGGGCAAGCGUUGUCCGGAUUUAUUGGGCGUAAAGCGCUCGCAGGUGGUUCGUUGCGUCGUGCGUGAAAGACCCCGGCUCAACUGGGGAGUGUCGUGCGAUACGGGCGAACUGGAGGCCAGUAGGGGGAUGCGGAAUUCCGGGUGUAGUGGUGGAAUGCGUAGAGAUCCGGAGGAACACCAGCGGCGAAGGCGGCAUCCUGGACUGGUUCUGACACUCAUGAGCGAAAGCGUGGGGAGCGAUCCGGAUUAGAUACCCUAGUAGUCC
rnacentral:rRNA from 1 species